AUUGAACGCUGGCGGCAGGCUUAACACAUGCAAGUCGAGCGGUAGCACAGGGGAGCUUGCUCCCUGGGUGACGAGCGGCGGACGGGUGAGUAAUGUCUGGGAAACUGCCUGAUGGAGGGGGAUAACUACUGGAAACGGUAGCUAAUACCGCAUAACGUCGCAAGACCAAAGAGGGGGACCUUCGGGCCUCUUGCCAUCAGAUGUGCCCAGAUGGGAUUAGCUAGUAGGUGGGGUAAUGGCUCACCUAGGCGACGAUCCCUAGCUGGUCUGAGAGGAUGACCAGCCACACUGGAACUGAGACACGGUCCAGACUCCUACGGGAGGCAGCAGUGGGUAAUAUUGCACAAUGGGCGCAAGCCUGAUGCAGCCAUGCCGCGUGUGUGAAGAAGGCCUUCGGGUUGUAAAGCACUUUCAGCGAGGAGGAAGGUGGUGAGCUUAAUACGCUCAUCAAUUGACGUUACUCGCAGAAGAAGCACCGGCUAACUCCGUG
rnacentral:rRNA from 1 species